ACCACCUCCACAGCAGCGACGAACUGCUCUCCUUCUUCAUGGGCAAGAACACCAUGGAGCGGCAGGAAUUCAUCAUCGAAAACCUGCGCGUGGAAAAGGAUCUGGUGGAGGCGGUGGCGUAGCCACGUGGUAACGCGAGGAGGCAGACUGUCCACUCUGCCGCGCGACCUUAGGCUCCAAUAUCUGGCUGCCAAUCUGUAGUUCGACCUUCCAACCGAAGAACCACCUUUUCUCCUGCCCGCAUUCGUUCGAUCUCAUUCUCUCCGAUCAAGAGUUCCGCGACCUGAACAGGAUUGUCAUGCGCAUGCAGAUUAAUCUGUAACCGCACAGGCUUAACCUCGUUGAUCGUCAGCGUUAUCGCGCCUGGCAUUGCUAGCUGCGGUGGGAUAGGCCACUCGCAUCGUUUCAGAUUCAUGAACGUGCUGUCCGCCCAGCCUGUCGGCGCUUUUGCAUUCAACAAGACGCGCCACAUCCCCAUAAAAACCGACAACCACCGAUUCCGCUGAAGCUGGACCGCGGUUGAAUACAAUCAUCCGUACCUCGAAGACGCCCCCCGGCUUUACCUCCAUGGUAACGCUUACUGAAAGACGCGCACGCUUCCUCGGAUAGAAGAGAUUUCGAAGAAGCCCAGUAGGGCAGAUCACGGACCUAUCUUGGUCUCGAAUGAAGUAAUGCUUUCCCGCCCACUCCGCUCGAUGCGGAGGGAAUUCGCUCGGAGGCACAUAGCAAACGAUGACGCCACUCCCAUCAUCGCUGGGGUCCGGGACUGCCUCGAUACGAAUUCCCGUAACCAUCGGAUCCGUCGCAGAAACAAUCAAGUCGCGGAGGUCGUCGCGCCACUUCUUACAUUUUGGGGCCAACGAGAAACCGAGAGGCAUGUUGCCGGGACAAUCAAUUCCCCACACCAUAACACCACCUCCCGUGUUGCCGAAGGCCGACAGCGUCUCACUCCAUUUCUCCUUCAUUUUUUCGCGCGGAUCGUAAGCUUGCUCAGUCUCGCUACCGAUCCGACGCUGUUCUCCCAAGAAUGCCGCACCCUUGUAUUCCCGCCAUUCGUUUUCCUCAGACUCUGGCUUCUUGAACAAUGUCUCCAUGAAUGGAAAGCCCCCGCUUGUAAUCGCGUCGAAGAAUGCCUGGGCGUUUGGGUUCGUUUCCAUUGCGUGCGUGCUAUCGCAACCAGCCAUCGCUCGCAAGACCUGCCAAUCCUACUCUGCCCUCGCUCGGUCCCAAGCGAACUGACCGUCACCCAACUCGGCGCCAGCCAGCUCGCUCAGUAGCUGCCAGGCAAAUGGCCUUCACCUUGGUCUUCAAAUUUCGUUGAACUGCUUGGCCGAAUAGUUCGCUGGUGAUGCGGCACCGCCCCUCGGGCUCGCAGAUUACCUACUUGCCAAAAAUCGCACGGCAACGCUGUUUCCCACCUCCGCGAAUUUCCGCUAUCAUCCCGCUCCCGAUCAAUGCCGAAGAAGAAGUCCGACUCCCAACCUGAGGAUCAGCCGCUGCUGCCGCUCUCGGAUGACCACACUGCGCCCGAUUCACCGGAGACGCCGGCGCCCGUCGCGGCCGAACCCAGCGAUGAAACUGAACCCGCCUCCGAAGCGCCCGUUCCGGAGCCGCGGGUGGGCAAGGUGCAGGAUGAGCAGGCGCCGCUCGCAGUAGCUUAUCGGAAUUGGUUCCUCGACUAUGCGAGCUAUGUGAUCCUCGACCGCGCGGUGCCGCACAUCGAUGACGGCCUGAAGCCGGUGCAGCGGCGCGUGCUGCACACGCUUUGGGACAUGGACGACGGGCGCUUUCACAAGGUGGCGAAUGUGGUGGGCGCGACGAUGAAGCUGCAUCCGCACGGUGAUGCGUCGAUCGGCGCGGCGCUGGUGUCGAUCGGGCAGCGCGGGUGGCUGAUCGAGCCGCAGGGGAACUACGGCAACACGCUGACGGGCGAUGAUGCGGCGGCGCCGCGUUACAUCGAGGCGCGGCUCACCGCGUUCGCGAAGGAUGUGCUUUUCAACCCGAAGACGACGACGUGGCAGCUCAGCUACGACGGGCGCAACAAGGAGCCGAUCACGCUGCCGG
rnacentral:misc_RNA from 1 species